rnacentral:rRNA from 1 species
UACGUAUGGGGCAAGCGUUAUCCGGAUUUACUGGGUGUAAAGGGAGCGCAGGCGGCCUGGCAAGCCUGAUGUGAAAUACCGGGGCCCAACCCCGGGGCUGCAUUGGGAACUGCCAGGCUGGAGUGCAGGAGAGGAGAGUGGAAUUCCAUGUGUAGCGGUGAAAUGCAUAGAUAUAUGGAGGAACACCGGUGGCGAAAGCGGCUCUCUGGCCUGUAACUGACACUGAGGCUCGAAAGCGUGGGGAGCAAACAGG